rnacentral:rRNA from 1 species
UACGAGGGGGGCUAGCGUUGUUCGGAUUUACUGGGCGUAAAGCGCACGUAGGCGGUUUGUUAAGUGAGAGGUGAAAUCCCAGAGCUCAACUCUGGAACUGCCUUUCAUACUGGCAAGCUAGAGUCCGGAAGAGGAGAGUGGAAUUCCUGGUGUAGCGGUGAAAUGCGCAGAUAUCAGGAAGAACACCCGUGGCUAAGGCGGCUCUCUAGUACGGUACUGACGCUGAGACGCGAAAGCGUGGGGAGCGAACAGG